AGCCCGCGGGCGCGGCCUAACUGCUCGCCCGCCCGCCCGCUGCUCGCCCCCCGGCGCCCGAGGGUCGCAGUACCUGGGCGGCGGCCUCCAGCUUGCCCUCGAAGGAAAUAGCCAGUUGAAGGGAUGAUCUGAAAACAGUUUUCCCCGAGAAACAUUUAGUUAUCCAAGGUCGCUCCAACCAGUGAAAUCUAGACCUUUUAGGAGAGUGGUUUCAAAGAUUAGAAAGACCGGAUCCCACGAUUGCAUGUUUAAAACAAGAUGCUUCAUUGCUGGGCACGGAGGCUGAGGCAGGAGGAUCAUCAUGGGCCAGCCUGGACUACAGAGGUUUCACUCUAUAGCUAUGCUGGCCUCAAAAUCACUAUAUAGAGCAGCCUGGCACGGAGCCUUCAGCAGUUUUCCUGCCUCAGCCUUACAGGCAGGAGCAGCCCCACCACCAGU